CCAUAAACCCAACAGCAACGGGAUAAAGAAGAUAGAGAGAGAAUCGUCAUCUUCAUCAUCGUGUCUCAAAUGGCUUCUUUUUCAGCCUUCAUAACUAGGGUUCAGAGCUACUCUGAACUUUCAAAUCUCUCAAAACGAUCUCUGCCUUCCAAUGUUUUCAAAUUUUCUUCAUCAUUUCAGACUCGAAUCACGCACACUCACCACCAUGGAUUGAAGCUCAAGCACCUCCUCAAGGCAGCUCCUGAAGGACCUCCUUCUGAGUUGAUAGAAGAUUCAAAGUUUGUUCCUCUAAAUCCCGAUGAUCCUACUUUUGGUCCACCAGCUAUGUUAUUGACUGGUUUUCAAGUGGAUGAGGUUGUGAAGAUACAAAAGUUUUUGAAAGAGUUGGAUGGUGAAUUUGUAGAGGUUAUCUUUUGCACUGAAGACAUGAUGAAGGGGUCUCUUUGGGAAGCUGUAAAUACCAAACAGCCAAACCUUGAAGCUUCAAAGGUUCACUAUUAUUGCAAAAUCUCUUCCAAGGAUUUGUUUUUUAUCUGGUCUUACAGGAGAGGAGAUGAUGAUGUUCAUCGAUGCUUUUCCAGAAUCCGAAUUAGCAGGAGCAGUGUUUGCAGCUGUUGUACCCAAUAGUGCUGAUAAACCACUACAAGAGGUGAUAGAAGAGAUCAUGGGAGAUCAUGAGAUGAUGAAAUCAAGAGAAUCAAGCUAGAGAUAUCAAGAUACAUUGGAACUUGAUUGUCAGUUGAUAUGUUGGAACUAAAAGAAUCCAAGAGUACAUUGAUUUUCAAUAUGUUACAUUGAUAUGCCAAAUUCAUAACUACUAAACACAUGAUGCUUCGGAUAUUGAUUGAGAUCAUAAUUAUUAAGGGAUGUUUCAUCA